rnacentral:rRNA from 1 species
CCUACGGGUGGCAGCAGUGGGGAAUAUUGGACAAUGGGCGAAAGCCUGAUCCAGCCAUGCCGCGUGUGUGAAGAAGGCCUUCGGGUGGUAAAGCACUUUCAGUGGGGAAGAAAGCCUUGGGGCUAAUACCCUCGAGGAAGGACAUCACCCACAGAAGAAGCACCGGCUAACUCCGUGCCAGCAGCCGCGGUAAUACGGAGGGUGCGAGCGUUAAUCGGAAUUACUGGGCGUAAAGCGCGCGUAGGCGGUCUGAUAAGCCGGUUGUGAAAGCCCCGGGCUCAACCUGGGAACGGCAUCCGGAACUGUCAGGCUAGAGUGCAGGAGAGGAAGGUAGAAUUCCCGGUGUAGCGGUGAAAUGCGUAGAGAUCGGGAGGAAUACCAGUGGCGAAGGCGGCCUUCUGGACUGACACUGACGCUGAGGUGCGAAAGCGUGGGUAGCAAACAGGAUUAGAUACCCCGGUAGUC